AUAUGGCAGAGUGCCGGGAGCUGGGGAGGCUGACAGACAGCAUUUCUUUCCAGAAGCUCCCAUGUGCCAGGCCCUGAACCAGCCCUAGAUUCUCACAGCAGACAAUGCUGUCAAGGAAAAGCCCAGCCUUGUACCAAGUUAUCAAUAUCAGCCGCGACCGGGUGAGGGGAGCCAUCCGUCCUCACAGAGACAUUAGCACGUCUUGAAUCGCCCCUGGAGCCUCUAUUUGAAAGGUGCAUCCAUCUGCAUGCAGCACCGAUGACACUGGCCUUGAUGUGAACAGCAGAGAACUUCAUUUUGCUCGUUCCUGUUAAGACGUGGGCGUCACUUUGUCGCUGGGGUGGCAGCCUCCUGUUCAAAGCAACCUGCACAAGUCAGUCAAAGGGGCAGGCAGGUUCUUUACCACUAGCACCACCUGGCAAGCCCUCUCACAAAAUGAUAUACAAGUAUCCUUUCUGUGUGAUCUCACGGACUGUAACCCACCAGGCUCCUCUGUCCACCGGAUUCUCCAGGCAAGAAUACUGGAGUGGGUUGCCAUUUCCUUCUGCAGGGGAUCUUCCCGACCCAAGGAUUGAACCUGGGUCUUCCUCAUUGAAGGCAGAUUCCUUACCAUCUGAACCACCAAGGGAGCAAAACAAUCUUGUUGACUGUAAAUUAAUGUUGCACGCCAGAUCUCGAGAACUUAUUCACCUUGUUUAACUGAAACUUUACUACGCCUGUUGCUUAACAACUCCCCAUUUCUCCCUCCCCCGCAUGCCCUGAAAACCACUAUUUCACUUUGGUUUUCAGGUCCUUCUUAGAUCUAGUUGUUUGCAAGUUCAAAGUGUCUCCAAACCACCAACAUUUGACAUUUUCUCACCACUGUUAAUAUUCUUAUUUCUAUAUUAAUUUCAUUGGAAAUUCCACCUCUUCUUACAAGGACC
ensembl:lncRNA